rnacentral:rRNA from 1 species
AUUGAACGCUGGCGGCAGGCCUAACACAUGCAAGUCGAGCGGUAGAGAGAAGCUUGCUUCUCUUGAGAGCGGCGGACGGGUGAGUAAUGCCUAGGAAUCUGCCUGGUAGUGGGGGAUAACGUUCGGGAACGGACGCUAAUACCGCAUACGUCCUACGGGAGAAAGCAGGGGACCUUCGGGCCUUGCGCUAUCAGAUGAGCCUAGGUCGGAUUAGCUAGUUGGUGAGGUAAUGGCUCACCAAGGCGACGAUCCGUAACUGGUCUGAGAGGAUGAUCAGUCACACUGGAACUGAGACACGGUCCAGACUCCUACGGGAGGCAGCAGUGGGGAAUAUUGGACAAUGGGCGAAAGCCUGAUCCAGCCAUGCCGCGUGUGUGAAGAAGGUCUUCGGAUUGUAAAGCACUUUAAGUUGGGAGGAAGGGUUGUAGAUUAAUACUCUGCAAUUUUGACGUUACCGACAGAAUAAGCACCGGCUAACUCUGUGCCAGCAGCCGCGGUAAUACAGAGGGUGCAAGCGUUAAUCGGAAUUACUGGGCGUAAAGCGCGCGUAGGUGGUUUGUUAAGUUGGAUGUGAAAUCCCCGGGCUCAACCUGGGAACUGCAUUCAAAACUGACUGACUAGAGUAUGGUAGAGGGUGGUGGAAUUUCCUGUGUAGCGGUGAAAUGCGUAGAUAUAGGAAGGAACACCAGUGGCGAAGGCGACCACCUGGACUAAUACUGACACUGAGGUGCGAAAGCGUGGGGAGCAAACAGG